rnacentral:tRNA from 1 species
GGUGGCUUAAUGGUAAAGUGCUUGCCUAGCAUGCAUGAAGCCCUGGGUUCAAUUCCUCAGUACCA